CGCUGAAGAGAGGAGCUUGCUCUUCUUGGAUGAGUUGCGAACGGGUGAGUAACGCGUAGGUAACCUGCCUUGUAGCGGGGGAUAACUAUUGGAAACGAUAGCUAAUACCGCAUAACAAUGGAUGACACAUGUCAUUUAUUUGAAAGGGGCAAUUGCUCCACUACAAGAUGGACCUGCGUUGUAUUAGCUAGUAGGUGAGGUAAUGGCUCACCUAGGCGACGAUACAUAGCCGACCUGAGAGGGUGAUCGGCCACACUGGGACUGAGACACGGCCCAGACUCCUACGGGAGGCAGCAGUAGGGAAUCUUCGGCAAUGGGGGCAACCCUGACCGAGCAACGCCGCGUGAGUGAAGAAGGUUUUCGGAUCGUAAAGCUCUGUUGUAAGUCAAGAACGGGUGUGAGAGUGGAAAGUUCACACUGUGACGGUAGCUUACCAGAAAGGGACGGCUAACUACGUGCCAGCAGCCGCGGUAAUACGUAGGUCCCGAGCGUUGUCCGGAUUUAUUGGGCGUAAAGCGAGCGCAGGCGGUUUGAUAAGUCUGAAGUUAAAGGCUGUGGCUCAACCAUAGUUCGCUUUGGAAACUGUCAAACUUGAGUGCAGAAGGGGAGAGUGGAAUUCCAUGUGUAGCGGUGAAAUGCGUAGAUAUAUGGAGGAACACCGGUGGCGAAAGCGGCUCUCUGGUCUGUAACUGACGCUGAGGCUCGAAAGCGUGGGGAGCGAACAGGAUUAGAUACCCUGGUAGUCCACGCCGUAAACGAUGAGUGCUAGGUGUUGGAUCCUUUCCGGGAUUCAGUGCCGCAGCUAACGCAUUAAGCACUCCGCCUGGGGAGUACGACCGCAAGGUUGAAACUCAAAGGAAUUGACGGGGGCCCGCACAAGCGGUGGAGCAUGUGGUUUAAUUCGAAGCAACGCGAAGAACCUUACCAGGUCUUGACAUCCCGAUGCUAUUUCUAGAGAUAGAAAGUUACUUCGGUACAUCGGUGACAGGUGGUGCAUGGUUGUCGUCAGCUCGUGUCGUGAGAUGUUGGGUUAAGUCCCGCAACGAGCGCAACCCCUAUUGUUAGUUGCCAUCAUUCAGUUGGGCACUCUAGCGAGACUGCCGGUAAUAAACCGGAGGAAGGUGGGGAUGACGUCAAAUCAUCAUGCCCCUUAUGACCUGGGCUACACACGUGCUACAAUGGUUGGUACAACGAGUUGCGAGUCGGUGACGGCGAGCUAAUCUCUUAAAGCCAAUCUCAGUUCGGAUUGUAGGCUGCAACUCGCCUACAUGAAGUCGGAAUCGCUAGUAAUCGCGGAUCAGCACGCCGCGGUGAAUACGUUCCCGGGCCUUGUACACACCGCCCGUCACACCACGAGAGUUUGUAACACCCGAAGUCGGUGAGGUAAC
rnacentral:rRNA from 1 species